rnacentral:rRNA from 1 species
AAUAUUGGACAAUGGGCGAAAGCCUGAUCCAGCAAUGCCUCGUGAGUGAUGAAGGCCCUAGGGUUGUAAAGCUCUUUUACCAGGGAUGAUAAUGACAGUACCUGGAGAAUAAGCUCCGGCUAACUCCGUUCCAGCAGCCGCGGUAAUACGGAGGGAGCUAGCGUUGUUCGGAAUUACUGGGCGUAAAGCGCGCGUAGGCGGCCUGUCAAGUCAGGGGUGAAAGCCCGGGGCUCAACCCCGGAAUUGCCUUUGAAACUGGCAGGCUAGAAUCUUGGAGAGGUCAGUGGAAUUGCGAGUGUAGAGGUGAAAUUCGUAGAUAUUCGGAAGAACACCAGUGGCGAAGGCGACAUACUGGCUCAUUACUGACGCUGAGGCGCGAAAGCGUGGGGAGCAAACA